GCAGUCACUGCUCCUGUACUUAGAGGCUUCCUGCCUCCAGCACUUGAAGCAGCAGCAUGUGCUCAUUAUAUGAGUUUCCCAGAGUGCUCCACCCUGGCACAAGGACACUCAGGGAAAGCAGGACCUAUUGAACAGUAUAACCACCUAAAUGGUUCAGCAUUUUGUUGAACAGAGCACAGUUGCUCUGGAGAGCACUCUCAGACAUGAAAAACCUGCAAGGAAACAAGCUGGAGGAUACAAGGACAAAGGGAUGGAGGACAUGAACCAACUAAGAGAAGAGGCCUCAGCAAAAUAGAAAGUCAUGCUGCUGCCAUGAGGUAUCAGGCAACAUGACUUCCAACACUGCUGAUGCAAUGCAGAAGGAAGCAGGAGGAAAUGAAUUUCUGAUAUGCCAUUUACCCACAAAAGACUUGGAGCAUCAAACAGGCUGUCA